UGCAUGAGGUAAUUGAUGAAGAAAUUCAACCAAGCGCGGGUAAACUGCAGGAGUAACUAUGACUUCCUAAGGUAUCCAGAUGCCUCGUCAUCUAAUUAGUGACACACAUUAUU
rnacentral:ncRNA from 1 species